rnacentral:rRNA from 1 species
ACUGCUCAGUAACACGUGGCUAACCUGCCCUUGGGACAAGGACAACUCCGGGAAACUGGGGCUAAUCCCUGAUAGGUGAGAACUCCUGGAAUGGAUUCUCGCUCAAAAGGCGCUUAGACCAUGCUUCUAGGCGUCGCCCAAGGAGGGGGCCGCGGCCGAUCAGGUUGUUGGUGAGGUAACGGCUCACCAAGCCUUUAACCGGUACGGGCCGUGAGAGCGGAAGCCCGGAGAUGGGCACUGAGACAAGGGCCCAGGCCCUACGGGGCGCAGCAGUCGCGAAAACUCCGCAAUACACGAAAGUGUGACGGGGCUAUCCCGAGUGCCAUCCGCUGAGGAUGGCUUUUCCCUAGUGUAUAAAGCUGGGGGAAUAAGGAGAGGGCAAGCCUGGUGUCAGCCGCCGCGGUAAUACCAGCUCUCCGAGUGGUGAGGAUGUUUAUUGGGCCUAAAGCAUUCGUAGCCUGCUUGGCAAGUCCUCCGUUAAAUCCAACGAUUCAAUCGUUGGGCUGCGGGGGAUACUGCCCGGCUAGGGGGCGGGAGAGGCCGACGGUAUCCUCGGGGUAGGGGUGAAAUCCUAUAAUCCCGGGAGGACCACCAGUGGCGAAGGCUGUCGGCUAGAACGCGCUCGACGGUGAGGGAUGAAAGCUGGGGGAGCGAACCGGAUUAGAUACCCGGGUAGUCCCAGCUGUAAACGAUGCAGGCUAGGUGUUGGCGCGGCUACGUGCCGCUCCAGUGCCGCAGGGAAGCCGUUAAGCCUGCCGCCUGGGAAGUACGGCCGCAAGGCUGAAACUUAAAGGAAUUGGCGGGGGAGCACCACAAGGUGUGAAGCUUGCGGUUUAAUUGGAGUCAACGCCGGA